AUUGAACGCUGGCGGCAUGCCUUACACAUGCAAGUCGAACGGUAACGGGCCUUCGGGUGCCGACGAGUGGCGGACGGGUGAGUAAUACAUCGGAACGUGCCCGAUCGUGGGGGAUAACGAGGCAAAAGCUUUGCUAAUACCGCAUACGAUCUACGGAUGAAAGCAGGGGACCGCAAGGCCUUGCGCGGACGGAGCGGCCGAUGGCAGAUUAGGUAGUUGGUGGGAUAAAAGCUUACCAAGCCGACGAUCUGUAGCUGGUCUGAGAGGAUGAUCAGCCACACUGGGACUGAGACACGGCCCAGACUCCUACGGGAGGCAGCAGUGGGGAAUUUUGGACAAUGGGCGCAAGCCUGAUCCAGCCAUGCCGCGUGCAGGAUGAAGGCCUUCGGGCUGUAAACUGCUUUUGUACGGAACGAAAAGCCUUCUUUUAAUACAGGAGGGUCAUGACGGUACCGGAAGAAUAAGCACCGGCUAACUACGUG
rnacentral:rRNA from 1 species